GGGAUAUUGAAAAGAGGUUCGCCAGGAUGGCCAUGGACGCUUUGGUUAAGGAAGCACUGACAGCUAGCAACGACAAACAGAGCCCAUCGACUGUCGGAAGCGUUCCAACCCUUAACGUGAACCGAAAAGCGUACAGAUCCAAGGGAAACCACACCCAUUAUUGGCAGUUGAGGUUGUUGUUUUCAAAUUCGACUUGACAAGCUCCAGAGCCAGAAUCCCGAUGCUACACUUAUUAAAAUUCAUGGGAGAACCACGUAUAGGACCCGGGUGGGCCCGUGAAAGCCUCCGGCGGGAUGAGGAGAGAUCCCAACAUAAACAAAGUAGUUGCCUGGUUGCCUUGGCUCGACGCAAAGUAAACAUAAAUAAGAGCAAACGGAACUGGCAGAGGAGAAGGAGCUGUGCCCUCUGAGGCGACGACAACGACGACGACUCCGAUUAGGUAAAUACGGAGGUGAAGGCGCCGCUUCAAAGGAUUCGAGAUGCCACGACAUCUUAAUGAUGAUGUCAUGAAUAAAUUAGUUGGCGACUGGAUAGAAACUACUAUUUCGGCAGGAGCUAAAUCAUCUCCACGUGCCGGGGCGGAGUAGUGGAUGGGAAUGCGACUUCCCACUCGCCCAACUUAAUGACAAAAAUUAAGUGAACCGCAAAAAGUGGCAUUGCGGUCGCCUGAAAGGGCUGAGACUGAGGGGGCGUGGCAGGCUUAGCCAAAGCCGCCACAAAGUUCAAAAAAUGUGUACGACCCACGCACGCACGUGUGAAAAUCCCUUAUAUCCUCCCGAUGAAGUCAUUUAAAUUAACUUGCAAAUUAUGCAAAUGUGCGACAAAAGUGAGACUCCUUCCGGCCGGGGGUAGGUGUUCCUUUGCAGGUGGCCGCCGGUCCGACAUCCGACAUCAGUGUUGCAGCCACGCCCCUUCGACACCCCGACUGCCAGGGUUGAAAAUUAAUUAGUUGCGCCUAUUUUUGCGAUCAAUCAUUCAAUUUUCUGCGCCAUAAAAUCUCGUCGACCGCCCGGAAAACAAAAAAGGCAUCAACACUUUCCGCAAAACAAGGGCGCCACUUGUCCAACAAGCUGCUAGUUGCCUGCCAUCGCCCCCGGACCUGUCCCUGUCCCUGUCCUCAGACCAUCCCGUUCUGCACUGUUCCGCUGGAAACAGCCUCGUCAUUUAUGCGCUACGCUUUUUACGAUGCGGGCUUGUCCUUGUUCCUCCUCCGGCUGCAGCCACCACCCGGGUUCGAUUUUCGGGCUGAGGGUUGGAUGUGGUAAUGACGAGUUUUUCCUGGAUGGUAGCGAGGACGAGGCUGAAGCUUGGCUUGUCAGGCAACGCAAUCUGUCACCAUCCGAAUAGCAAUGAGCAAAAAGGCGAUCAUGAUUGUUAUUGCGAUUGAACGCAGGGUUCCGAAAAACUCGUUGGCUUAAUUUAUUUCAUCCAAAAAAAUAACACCACUGGAAACAAGAAUCUGGUUUUUAGUUUCUAACUGAAACUAAAAUAGAAUGGAAUUCUUAAUCUAUUCAUAAAACCAGAUCACCUUUAAAUAUAUCCUUCGACUAUGGGUUCUCUGAGGAUAUGAGUUACUUGAACCGUUUCCAGUAGGGAUACUACUCUCAACAAAAACAGACCUUUUGUUUUUGUUUGCAAAUUGUUUCAUAUAAAAUAAUUCGAAAUAUUUGAGCCGGCAGCGAAAUUAGCCAAAUUAACACCUUGCUAAGUCCGGAGUCUGGAGCUGGCUUAGGCCUGGAAAUAAUUGAAAUAUUUUUUGCUCUAAUAAAAAGACCCGAGCCGCAGGGAUAAGCCGGAGUUGUGUGGCACAUUUAAGCGAGUCCAGUUAAGACGAGGGUCACAGGGUCAGGGGUGAUGUGGGUGCAGAAAGAGCUGACCUUUUGUGCCUCCUUCUGUUCUCUCACUCAAUUACGCCGCGGGUUUCGGCCUGGUCCGAGCCACUUGGCGGAGUCUAUUUGGGCAAAUACUUCGGACCAUUUAAACAAUUUCCAUUAACAAAUAUGCGCAAAUUGGCCAACGGCGGUUUUACAAAUAAAUUGCACAAAAAACCAACUUUGACAAAAAUGGGAAAAACUGAUCCAAACCGAACCGGAGCGAGAUGUAUAUGUUCAAUCUUUUUCAACCGAAAUGCAUGAAAUAU